AUGCAGUUCGAGCAAGGCAUGGCGACAAUCCUGCUGCUCCUACUCAGCAGCCUCACACCAUUCCUGGCGGCAGCUGAUGUAUUCUGCGACAACGUUAAGGUCCUAGCUGCCACCCUCCCUAACAAAAGAUGCUCUUCCCCAGUACACUUUGCCACCGCCACAAUCGGCCAAGCCCCCGACACCGUAUACGCGCUUGCGCUCUGCCGUGGCGAUGUCCUCAAUGACACAGCCUGCGCCGAGUGCAUCACAAACAUAUUCGGCAUAGUGCAGAAUGCUACGCCGCCAGAGGUAGAGUGCUUCAGGGCUGCCUCCUACUUUGCUGAUUGUAUCCUCAUCUACAACUCCAAAGACAUCCUCGCCCCGUCAUUCACCAAUAGCACAGAAGGAGAAAAUGGUGGCGACCCUCCUUUUGAGAGGUGGAAUGUCAGAAAUGUCACCGGCAACGUGCCUCUCAUCACCGGUCUCAUCCACGAGCUGCUGGUGGAGACUGUGGAGAAGGCAGCUAGCGCGUCGCCGAGGCGGUUCGCCACCGUGCACGCCGGACAUGUCUUCGGGGACUGUCUAGAGUGCUUGCAACAUCUCCUUGGCAUGAUCAACUCCACCAUGUCCCUCCGCAUGGGAGGACAGAUGGGUGUGAUACGGUGUUAUUUCAGGUAUGAUGCGUCUCAGUUCUAUCAAGGCCAACCAAUGAUAAGUCUGGGGCCGCUAGCUCCAACUCCGACCCAACACAAGAGGCGUAUGAACAAGCUGUGGGUAAUUCCCAUAGUUUUAAUACCUCUAGCUGCAGCAACAUUUCUCUUCUUCAUCUUGUACUAUCGUCGGAUCACAAAACAAAGAAAAGAGUUCAUGGUGUUUGACUUCCAACAGCUACUACAGGCCACAAAUAAUUUUUCGGAAGAAAACAAACUUGGACAGGGUGGAUUUGGUGUUGUAUACAAGGGCAAGCUUGCUGAUGGAUUGGAGAUAGCAGUUAAAAGACUUUCUUCACAUUCAGGACAAGGCUUCAUAGAAUUUAAAAAUGAAGUCCAGCUCAUAGCCAAACUACAACACAGUAAUUUGAUGAAAAAAAGAAGAGCUUUACUUGAUUGGUCCAAACUUGUAGCAAUAGUGGAAGGCAUAGCACAUGGACUUCUUUACCUACAUAAGCACUCCCGGUUACGUAUCAUACAUCGAGAUCUUAAACCAAGUAACAUUCUCUUGGAUAGCGAAAUGAAUCCAAAGAUUUCAGAUUUUGGUCUAGCAAAAAUUUCCAUCUCAGAUAGCAGUGAAGGAAACACUACUAGAAGAGUGGUUGGUACAUAUGGCUACAUGUCCCCUGAGUAUGCUUCGGAGGGUGUCUUCUCUAUUAAAUCGGACGUCUUCAGUUUUGGUGUUAUUAUUUUUGAGAUACUUAGCGGAAAGCAGAAUUCUGGUAGCCAGCAAUAUGGUGAUUUCAUCAAUCUUCUUGGAUAUGCAUGGCAAUUAUGGGAAGAGGGAAGGGGAAUUGACCUUCUUGAUACAUCAUUGGUUCCCAAAGAUCAAUCGCCGAAGAUUAUGAGAUACAUUAAUAUAGCAUUAUUAUGUGUACAAGAGAACGCAGCCGAUCGACCAACCAUGGCAGAUGUUAUAGCAAUGCUAUACACCGACGAUAUGAACAUCAACGAACCUAAGCAGCCGGCAUAUUUCAACAUAAGGGUCGGAAAUGAAGAGGAGUCUACUGCUACAGAGUCAUAUAGAGACGCGGCCGAUGAUACAGCGAGGCGGUACUCCACAACGGUCAUGGACGCCGUGCCGACGCUCUACUCCCUGGCACAAUGCACGCCGGACCUGUCCGCCGGAGACUGCCUGGCAUGCCUCCAGUGGCUCAUCGGCAUGGGAGAUACCACCACAUCCGUGCACCAGGGAGGACGGAUCUUCGUACUGCGAUGCAACAUCAGGUUCGAAAAUUUUAUGUUCUUCGACCAACCCAUGCGGCGGAUCGGUCUACCGUCCAUUGCACUCGCGCCUCCCAUGGAAGGACGUGGAAUGCAUCCUUGGGUAAUUGCUAUGUCUGUAGCUGGUCCGGUAGCUCUAGUUACUUUCUGCUUCAUCGUUUACUGUUGCCGCCUGAAAGGAAGGAUCAGAAAAGGUACAACAAUAUUACGAGAACAGCAUACUUACAAGUUGCAAGGUGGUGUUCAAGAACUAGUCUGGGAUAUGGAGGCAGGAUUAUCCGUGUUUUCAGUUUUCGACUUUCAUCAGAUAGUGGAAGCUACAAAUAACUUCUCUGAAGAAAAUAAACUUGGAGAAGGUGGAUUUGGACCUGUAUAUAAGGGCCAGUUUCUUAAUGGAACGGAGAUAGCAGUUAAGCGACUUGCAUCACAUUCAGGUCAAGAUCUAAAACCAAGCAACAUUCUCUUGGACAAUGAGAUGAACCCCAAAAUUUCAGAUUUUGGACUGGCAAAAAUAUUUUGCUCAAAUAAUACAGACGGCGACACUACAAGGAGAGUGGUUGGUACAUAUGGUUACAUGGCUCCAGAGUAUGCUUCUGAGGGUAUAUUCUCAAUCAAAUCUGAUGUAUUCAGCUUUGGUGUUUUAAUUCUUGAGAUCCUUAGCGGGAAAAGGAAUUAUGGUACCCGUCAUUGUGGAGCGUUCAUCAAUCUCCUCGGAUAUGCUUGGCAAUUAUGGCAAGAUGGGAGAUGGGCAAAUAUUGUUGAUGCGUCAUUGCUUCCCAUGUGUGAACCAACAGAAUUGAUGAGAUCCAUUAAUAUCGCACUACUAUGCGUACAAGAGAAUGCUGUGGAUCGACCGAACAUGUUGGAUGUUACUGCAAUGCUAAGCAGCAAGACUAUGAUCCUGCAUGUGCCUAAACACCCAGCGUAUUUUAAUCUAAUGAGCUAUGCCCGUUGUGGCUGCAAAGCAUGGCAUAGGGGGAUGAAGCACAUCAAGCAAAGCUGA
rnacentral:rRNA from 1 species